rfam:Brochothrix campestris FSL F6-1037 c15, whole genome shotgun sequence.
GGUAUUGUUUACCCCAUGAUAAGCCCCGGAAACUUAUUAUGCUUAUACAAACAAUGA